CAUGUUCGACCCUUGGCUUUGCUCACAAGCCACUGCAUUUUCUGGUUCCAGUCAUUGAGGUGAGGAUAAGUCUCCUUCAGCCAUGGCAUUAUUUUCUCCCAUAAUUCCACAGGGACUGGGCAGUAUAGUAGCAGAUGGUCUCUGGUCUUUGGGUGGUUUUUGGCAUAAGUUACAUUGCUGAUCAACACUCAUUCCCCAGCUGUGCAAUCUAUCUUUUGUUGGUAAUCUAUCUUGUAAGAACAGCCAUAGAUUGAAGCGACUACCAUUUUAAAGAUGGUUGCUCGACAUGUUCGACCCUUGGCUUUGCUCACAAGCCACUGCAUUUUCUGGUUCCAGUCAUUGAGGUGGGGAUAAGUCUCAUUCAACCAGUGCAUUGUUUUCUCCCAUAAUUCAACAGUGACUGGGCGCCUAGUCUUAGAACCUGCAUUGUAGAGAGGGGAACAAGCACCUCUUUCUGCCGCUCUCCUCCCAGAUGUAGGUAUUCCUGGAAGUGAGAACACUGCUGCCCAACUUAUAACCCGGUCACUCCCCGUCUUCAUCCUAGACGCCACUGGUACUAUUCAUCUAUACUAUAUAUGGAUGACUCCUGCUUUCUCCCCAAUGGAAUGAUCUGGACCCUUGCGAAAGGACCUCAAAAUCCGACGACCUUGACUGAAAAGCUCCCAAUUAGGUCAGUAGCUGGCCGAGUCGCUGAUAGACCAAAUAAGCACAGUAGCUGUUUAGAGCCGAAGGAGCUCUAUUUGGGAUUCUAUAGCCUACGCACUUGCCUUUAGGGGAUCGAAGUUGGAUGAAUCUCCAGUGGUUCCUUCCAUCGGCGUCAUCGAACCACGUUAGCAAUCCAGAAUAACUGG
rnacentral:lncRNA from 1 species